rnacentral:snoRNA from 1 species
CUGCAGCUACUUCAGCUGACUGCCCCCCUCCCACCGCCCCCCUUCAUGGGGCUCGGGGUACACCGGCUGCGAACACAGACUUCUGGUGGUGUAUGCAGCUCGUUCCUUGUGUGUGUUGCUCUCAGGGGCCUUGGGGACACCC